ACAUACGACCAUACCCAUUAGAAAACUUGGGAUCCCGUCCGCUCUCCCAUAGAUAAGCUAAUAAGGGGAGUCUUACCUAUGGAGAGUCGCAUUUC
rnacentral:rRNA from 1 species